UCGAAGGUAGCAUAAUCAGUAGUUUUUUAAUUGAAAACUCGUAUGAAUGGUUUAACGAGAUAUUAGCUGUUUUAUAAAAAUUUAUAUAGAAUUUAAUUUUUAAAUUAAAAAGUUUAAAUAAAAUUAAAAGACGAGAAGACCCUAUAGAGUUUUAUAAUAAUAUUUUUAUAAAUUUUAUAUAAUUUUUUGAUUUUUAAUUUUAUUAUUAUUUUGUUGGGGUGACAAUAAAAUUUAAAAAACUUUUAUUUUUUAAAAACAAAAAUUUUUGUAUUUUUGAUCCAGUUAUAUUGAUUAUAAGAUUAAAUUACCUUAGGGAUAACAGCGUAAUUUUUUUGUAGAGUUCUUAUCGAUAAAAAAUUUUGC
rnacentral:rRNA from 1 species